rnacentral:rRNA from 1 species
UACGUGAGGGACCGAGCGUUAUCCGGAUUCAUUGGGCGUAAAGAGCUCGUAGGCGACUAUCAAGUCGAACGUGAAAUCUCGGGGCUCAACUCCGAGCCUGCGUUCGAUACUGGGUAGCUAGAGUCUGGUAGGGGGAUCUGGAAUUCCUGGUGUAGCGGUGGAAUGCGCAGAUAUCAGGAGGAACACCGGUGGCGAAGGCGGGAUCCUGGGCCAGUACUGACGCUGAGGAGCGAAAGCGUGGGGAGCAACAGG